CCUACGGGAGGCAGCAGUAAGGAAUAUUGGUCAAUGGACGCAAGUCUGAACCAGCCAUGCCGCGUGAAGGAUGAAGGCCCUUGGGUUGUAAACUUCUUUUAUCUGGGAAGCGGUACCAGAGGAAUAAGCACCGGCUAACUCCGUGCCAGCAGCCGCGGUAAUACGGAGGGUGCAAGCGUUAUCCGGAUUCACUGGGUUUAAAGGGUGCGUAGGUGGGAAUGUAAGUCAGUGGUGAAAUCUCCGUGCUUAACAUGGAAACUGCCAUUGAUACUAUGUUUCUUGAAUUUUCUGGAGGUCAGCGGAAUAUGUCAUGUAGCGGUGAAAUGCUUAGAUAUGACAUAGAACACCAAUUGCGAAGGCAGCUGACUACGGAUAUUGACACUGAGGCACGAAAGCGUGGGGAUCAAACAGGAUUAGAUACCCUUGUAGUC
rnacentral:rRNA from 1 species